rfam:Triticum aestivum genome assembly, contig: Triticum_aestivum_CS42_TGACv1_scaffold_583579_7BL
UUUCUACUCCAUCCGUUCGAAAAUACUUGUCAUCAAAAUGGAUAAAAAGAGAUGUAUCUAAAACUAAAAUACGUCUAGAUACAUUUCCUUUUAUCCAUUUUGAUGACAAUUAUUUCCGGAUGGAGGGAGUAUUUA